GAUCCUAGCUCAAGACGAACGCUGGCGGCGUGCUUAACACAUGCAAGUCGAACGGAGCACCCUUGACUGAGGUUUCGGCCAAAUGAUAGGAAUGCUUAGUGGCGGACUGGUGAGUAACGCGUGAGGAACCUGCCUUCCAGAGGGGGACAACAGUUGGAAACGACUGCUAAUACCGCAUGACGCAUGACCGGGGCAUCCCGGGCAUGUCAAAGNUUUUAUCGCUGGAAGAUGG
rnacentral:rRNA from 1 species